rnacentral:rRNA from 1 species
CUACGUGCCAGCAGCCGCGGUAAUACGUAGGUGGCAAGCGUUGUCCGGAUUUAUUGGGCGUAAAGCGAGCGCAGGCGGUCAAUUAAGUCUGAUGUGAAAGCCCCCGGCUCAACCGGGGAGGGUCAUUGGAAACUGGUUGACUUGAGUGCAGAAGAGGAGAGUGGAAUUCCAUGUGUAGCGGUGAAAUGCGUAGAUAUAUGGAGGAACACCAGUGGCGAAGGCGACUCUCUGGUCUGUAACUGACGCUGAGGCUCGAAAGCGUGGGUAGCAAACAGGAUUAGAUACCCUGGUAGUCCACGCCGUAAACGAUGAGUGCUAAGUGUUGGAGGGUUUCCGCCCUUCAGUGCUGCAGUUAACGCAUUAAGCACUCCGCCUGGGGAGUACGACCGCAAGGUUGAAACUCAAAGGAAUUGACGGGGGCCCGCACAAGCGGUGGAGUAUGUGGUUUAAUUCGACGCAACGCGAAGAACCUUACCAGGUCUUGACAU